UCAGUUUUUUCACACGUGUUAAUCUCUUCCCACUUCAAGUGUCUCCAGAUCUCAGAUAUUUCUCCCUCACAGUCUCUCUCUCACUCCCUGCGUUCAAGCAUUCAGAUCCCAUUCUCAAAUUUUUUUUUUAAUGGAACGCGUGGGACUGUCACAAUUUGAUCCAUUCUCCGAUCAAAUUGCGUUUUGUCAUUAAAGUCAUUUUGUUUUUGCAUCUCAUCACAUCACAUCCUUCUUCUCUCCAUAUUUUCUCAACUUUUUGCUCAUAGAUUAUUCCUAUGGCUCUCCAGAUCAAUGACGGAGCCUCCUCUUCUUUCACUCCCCGAUUUAUCCAUGACGUUUUCUUAAGUUUCAGAGGGGAAGAUACCCGCUAUAAUUUUACAAGUCAUCUAUAUCAAGCUUUAUGUGAUAAGGGUUUCAACACCUUCAUAGAUAAUGAUCUUCGGAGAGGAGAAGAAAUCUCAACAGAACUUCUUAAAGCUAUUGAAUUGUCAAUGAUUUCAAUCGUUGUGUUCUCUGAUAACUAUGCAUCUUCCGGUUGGUGCUUAGAUGAACUUGUAAAGAUUCUUGAAUGUAGGAAUAAUGGACAGAUGGUUCUCCCUGUAUUUUACAAAGUGGAUCCGUCAGAAAUACGUAAACAAAAGGGAAAAGUUGGAGUAGCACUAACUCAACAUGAAGAAAAAUUGAAGGAUAACAAGGAGAAAGUUCAGAUGUGGAGGACAGCUUUGACUAAAGCAACUAACUUGUCUGGGUUCCAUUACAAGGAGGGCUGUAUUGAAUCUGAAACUCAAUUUAUCCAGAGAAUUAUUAAAGAGAUAUUAGUUACUAAAUUGAAUCGCAUUCAGUUAUUUGUUACUAAACACCCAGUUGGAAUAGAUUCUCGUGCAAAUGCUAUCGAAUUGCUCUUAGAUAUGAAGUCAAAUGAUGUUCGCAUGGUAGGGAUUCAUGGUCUUGGAGGAGUAGGUAAGACUACAAUUGCAAAGGCUAUUUAUAACAGAAUUGCUAAUUUUUUUGAAUUGAGUUGCUUUCUAGAGGAUGUUAAAGAAAAGUCGGAAACAAAUGAUGGCAUAAUCAAACUACAAGAGAUGCUUCUUUCUAAGAUCUCACGGGGCACAUAUGUAAAGGUAGAUAGUGUACCUAAAGGAAUUAUUAUGAUAAAGGAAAGGCUUUGUCAUACAAGACUUCUUUUAAUUCUUGACAAUGUGGUUGACUCAGAAGUGAUGGUAAAUUUGCUUGGAGAAUGUAAUUGGUUUGCUCUAGGAAGUCGAGUCAUUAUAACAACAAGAGACAAACAAGUGCUAAACACUUUUGGAAAAGAUCAUCCAAUUUAUGAGCUUAAGGAAUUAAAUCAAUCUGAAUCUCGUGAACUCUUCAACCUGUAUGCCUUCCAAAAAAUUGAACCGGAGGAAACUUAUUCAGAAGUUACAGAGCAAAUCAUACAUUAUGCCAAUGGCCUUCCAUUAGCUCUUAAAAUAAUUGGUUCUGAUCUGUGUGGAAAAAGUAUAUGUGAAUGGAAAAGCGCAUUGGAAAAGUAUAAAAACAUACCUCAUGAAAAAAUUCAAGAAAAACUCAAAAUAAGCUAUGAUGGACUUGGAAGGGCUGAAAAGGAUAUUUUUCUUGAUAUUUCAUGUUUCUUCAAGGGAUUAAAGAAGGAUUAUGUAGUGAAUAUAUUAGACGCUUGCAACUUAUAUCCUGAUUAUGGAAUUAGAAAACUUAUUGAUAAGUGUCUCAUAACUGUUGGUCAAUCUGGCAAUUUGUGGAUGCAUGACUUGCUUCAACAAAUGGGGAGAGAAAUUGUUCAACAAGAAUCAAAAGAGCUUGGAGAACGUAGCAGGAUAUGGUGUUUUGAGGAUGCUGAAGAACUACUAACUACAAAUAUGGGAUCAAGUAAAAUUCGGGGAAUUAUGUGUUGCUCACCUCACCCGAUAAAGAUGCAAAUAGAAGCUAAAGUUUUUGAAAAGAUGGUAAAUCUCAAAUUUCUAAUAGUUCGUAAUGUACACAUUUGUGAAGAACUCGAAUAUCUCCCCAACGGGUUAACGUUGCUUCAGUGGCCUGAAUUUCCAUUUUCCUUGCCAUCCAAAUAUUAUCCUCGACAACUUGUUGAACUUGAGAUGCCAAGAAGUCUUAUUAGAUUGGAGACAACAUUCAAAUUGGGAAUCCAACUAAAAUAUUUAAAAUAUAUCAAUCUCAAAGGGUGUGAGUCCAUUACAAAAUUACCUGAGUUGUGUACCCCAAGCCUAGAAACAUUGAAUCUUUCCUAUUGUCAAAAUUUAGUUGAGGUUCAUGAGUCAGUUGGAUUUCUUGAUAAGCUUCAGGUAUGGGAUCUCCAAGGUUGUGGAAAACUUCAAACUCUUCCAAACAACCUCAUGUUGAAAUCUCUUGUGGAAUUUGUUCUUAGGGACUGCUUAAUGCUGGAGAAGUUUCCUAAUAUUCAUCCAGAAAUGAAAUGUGAUAAUUUAAAUUUACGUGGGAGUGGUAUUCGAGAGUUGCCAUCAUCAAUUAAGUAUCUCACUGGGCUUCAUGGCUUAAACUUAGAGGAUUGCGAAAACCUUAGGUAUCUUCCCGAUGACAUCUAUAAAUUACAACAUCUUCUUGGACUAUAUAUUCCCACUGCCAAAUUGAGACAGACAUACAAUUAUUUGGAUGGCUUUUCCAAAUAUGGGUUUUUGAGGUUGACGUCCUUGAGUUUCAGGGGCAAUAAAAAUAUAAUUGAAUUAGAUUUUUUGAUGAAACCUGAGUACUUCCCCGUAUUGAUUUCUCUAAAUCUAUCUGCAACUAAUAUUGUUAGCAUCCCUGAAAGCCUUAGCAGAUUUACUUCAUUAGCGAUCCUUGAUAUACAACAUUGCAAGCAGCUUCGGGAAAUUCCAAGGCUUCCACAAUCGGUAGAAAAUGUGAAUGCAAGCAAAUGCUAUUCGUUGAAUCCACAAUCAUUAAGCACAUUAUUGAAUCAGGUUGGAGAAAUUUUAGGGAUUUUACCUAAUAAAGCAUGUAAAGGAGCAAGAAGUAGGAUAUUAAUGGAUCCACAAACAUCAUCAAGCGAAUUAUUGAACGAUGGUAAAUUUGAUAUUAUACUACCAGUAACUGAGAUUCCAAAGUGGUUGAACUUAAACCAUGAAAGUGAUAGAGAUGUUGUAUCAUUUUGGGUUGGUCGCAAAUUUCCAAAUAUUUUUUCUGUCUGUUUUGCUCUUGGACCGGCGAACUAUCCACGGAUGUCUUCCUGUGAAGUUUUCCUUUCCAUCAAUGGGUGUGAAAAAAGGCUCCUUACAGCAACUCCUAUAUAUGCAGAUGAAUUAUCCGACGAUCUGUGGAUAUUUUCUUUAUCUAAUUACGAAUUACAGGAACGAUUGAAUGAGUCAAACCCAUCUGAACAAAAUUAUGUUGAGGUAAUAUGUGAAAUUAAGGAUCGUUUGGUUGUGAUGGAUCGGGUUAAAAACCAUCCAAGAAGGUGGGGGGUACGUGUAGAGUGCAUCUGUUGUUCCCAAAAAUCUGAUGUUUUUCACUUGCCGAGUCCCAGUGCUAGGCAUAAUUGUUGUGGCUCUGAUAUGAAUCAAUGGGCUGUCAACAAUGGAGGAGAUUCUGGACAUCUAUGUGGACGGCGAAGAAGAAACCAUAGACCAACCUAUGCCAGACGUCGUCAAAAACACUACCUGUCCCACUUCGGAUGGCUUCGAAUCCGAUUCCGACUCUGGAAAAGGAGCUUUCGUCCAACCCUUCCAACUGCAAUGCUCAUGUCCAGGGCUUCGAGGGAAAUGGAAGAAGAUUCAGGGCUUUCAAUGGCCCACUCUUAUUUCAAUGAUGGUUUCAACUCCAAGUUGUAUCCACCGUCAAAGAAGGCAAGAAAAUCUUGAUUGAACUUCGAUGCCAAGUUAAAGUUUUGAGCUUGUUCUAUACAAUUUACAAAAAAAAAUGCAUCAGGUGUUAUUACAAUUAUCUGUCAUAAGCUAGGAAGCACAGACACGGACACAGGUACGGGUACAACAUGGCGACACAAAUAAUUUUUGAAAAAUUAUAGCAUGAAACGGCUGGUACAAAACAGAUACAACACGGGUACAACACCUUAAAUGAAGUGUCCUUACUUCCUAGGUCAUAAGCUGGGGCCAGGGCUGCUGAUUGCACAGUGAGGUAAUUGCUUUAAAAAAUGAUGCAAUGUGCAAGCAAUGCAUAUCUUGACGUCUAAGAAAGGUAUAAUUUGAUUUGCUGUUGGAAUUUGUCAUUAAAUUUUUGCAUCAUGAGUCAUCCCUGAUUAUGCGUUUGACAGCCACUAUAUUAAUAAUGUAAUGGACUUAAUUAUUAGCUUAAUUGGCCACAAACACACACAUAGGUACCUUGUUAAUGUUAUUACUUACAAGUGUUAGAACAUUCAAACAGAAACAGAUUAAUGUUAUCAUCUUAUUUUCCCAUGAUCUGCCCAUGUUUGUGUGUGUCAGCAGUGACGUAUCCAUGGCCCUUGUUCUUGUUCAUGCUGCAUAAAUUCAAAGUUGAAAAAUAAGGUUCAGAGAUAUUAGAAUAAAAAAAAAAAAUAAAAAAUAAUGUGGUUUCUGCGUUUUGAUUAAGUUGUUUUAAUUCUAUUGUUUUCUGCAUUAUAAUUUUAUGAUUCUAUCUAAUUCUUUUCUUUCUCAAACAUAAAUCAAACUAAAUUUUGGGUGGUUCUAUGGAGUGGUUGAUGAUCCUUAUGGUGGUUUUUCAUUGCAGAGAACAAAUCUUUUCAAAAGGUAUGAAGCUUUUUAUCAAGCAAGAGGAAACACAAAACUUUCUGCUAUAUGCUGUGAGUUGAUUUGGAUGGCACGGAAGAAGCUUAAUUAUCAGAGGGUCUCACCCAAUAGAUCCAAGGAUGCUUGCCAAAAAAAAAAAAAAAAAAAAAACGAUUUUUUUUUUUUUUUUUUUUUUUUUCUUCUGAGGGGGGAAAAAAAAAUUCGAAUUUUCAUACAACACCAAGCUAAGAAUGCAUGAAGGUUGGUGGGUUUACAAAUUUUUAACCACAAAGGUGAUAGCUCUAAAUGUACCUUGAUCCGAUCAGCUACUCUUGGGCGAUUCCUCAUUGGUCCAUUGAUUCUAUCCUAGCUAACAUUGGUGUGGCUCUUAGGGCCCUCGUUUAGUAAAAGAUUUUUAGUAACGCUGUUUGAAUUUUUUGGAAAUACGUGUGGGUAAAGAAGUGUGUUUAAACACGUGUAAUGAUAUUUAAAUACUGAAAACUAUUGUUUAAACAACGGUAACAAACACGCUCUUAGUUUUUAGGAUAUCAAUCAUGUUGCCUUUGGCCCAUAA